rnacentral:rRNA from 1 species
UACGAAGGGUGCAAGCGUUGUUCGGAAUUACUGGGCGUAAAGGGCGCGUAGGCUGGUUUGUAAGUCUAAUGUGAAAUCCCCGGGCUUAACCCGGGACGUGCAUUGGAGACUGCAGAUCUUGAAUGCUUGAGAGGGUGGUAGAAUUCCAGGAGUAGAAGUGAAAUUCGUAGAUAUCUGGAGGAACACCGGAGGCGAAGGCGGCCACCUGGCAAGACAUUGACGCUGAGGCGCGAAAGUGCGGGGAGCAAACAGG